rnacentral:rRNA from 1 species
UACGGGGGGGGCAAGCGUUGUUCGGAAUUACUGGGCGUAAAGGGCUCGUAGGCGGCCAACUAAGUCGGAUGUGAAAUCCCCAGGCUUAACCUGGGAACUGCAUCCGAUACUGGAUGGCUUGAAUUCGGGAGAGGGAUGCAGAAUUCCAGGUGUAGCGGUGAAAUGCGUAGAUAUCUGGAGGAAUACCGGUGGCGAAGGCGGCAUCCUGGACCGACAUUGACGCUGAGGAGCGAAGGCGUGGGGAGCGAACGGG